rnacentral:rRNA from 1 species
ACGCUCGACACCUACGGGAGGCAGCAGUGGGGGAUAUUGCACAAUGGAGGAAACUCUGAUGCAGCGACGCCGCGUGAGGGAAGAAGGUUUUCGGAUUGUAAACCUCUGUCUUCGGUGACGAAAAUGACGGUAGCCGAGGAGGAAGCCACGGCUAACUACGUGCCGGCAGCCGCGGUAAUCUGAGGCGGGCUGGCAAGGC